UCACUCGACUCCCAAUUCUACGAGAACGAGUCACAAUAUCAAAACCCCUUCCAAGAAAGCCAGUUCUCCGUGUUGACUAAGGACUACUCGUUAAACAGAUUCCUAUAUAUAUCUCUCUCCAAAUUGCUGGAUUCAUAAGUCUCAAACGCCACCAAAAGGAACAAUUUCAGCACAUACCCACAUACUGAAAACUUGUUCUCUCUGCAAAAUUGAUAUAGAAAUCAUCUUCUUUAAUCACAUUUCCUGUUAACAAUGGACAAAUCUUUAAAGACUA
rnacentral:lncRNA from 1 species